rnacentral:rRNA from 1 species
CUACGGGACGCAGCAGUGAGGAAUAUUGCGCAAUGGGGGAAACCCUGACGCAGCGACGCCGCGUGGAUGAUGAAGGCCUUCGGGUCGUAAAAUCCUGUCAGAAGGAAAGAAGUAUAUGGUAGCUAAUAUCUGCCAUAUUUGACGGUACCUUCAAAGGAAGCACCGGCUAACUCCGUGCCAGCAGCCGCGGUAAUACGGAGGGUGCAAGCGUUGUUCGGAAUUACUGGGCGUAAAGCGCGCGUAGGCGGCUGGUUAAGUCAGAUGUGAAAGCCCAUGGCUUAACCAUGGACGUGCAUUUGAUACUGGGCAGCUUGAGUACUGGAGGGGGUGGUGGAAUUCCCGGUGUAGAGGUGAAAUUCGUAGAUAUCGGGAGGAAUACCGGUGGCGAAGGCGACCACCUGGCCAGAUACUGACGCUGAGGUGCGAAAGCGUGGGGAGCAAACAGGAUUAGAUACCCCGGUAGUC